ACUAGGUUUUGGCAAAAAUGUUAUACUUAAAUGUUAAUGGCAGAUCUGAUAGUUAACAAGUUGACCACCCAGUCUCAUAUAAAAUGCCAUAUUUCAGGUUACAAAUCAAGUUAUGAGAUUUUCAAUAUCGAUGGACUUUUUUAUUUUAUUAAUUUCCUUUUUGCAAAGACAGCAAAUGAAUUAUGAAAUUUUUGAAAGGUAAUUUUAGCCUUAUGGAUAAGUUUUUUUUUUUUCACGUAGUAGAUUAUUUUUUAAUUUUAGGCUGAGAAAGAAAAUAUUCAUGCACAAAAUGAAUUGACAAAACUGAACUGAAUUUGACAUCAUUCGAUUAUUUCCUUUUAUUGAAUCAUUGUAAAUAUCACAAACCGAUCAUCUUUAUAGUUGUAUCUUUGUUAGAUUUAGAAAUUGUUUGAACUAAAUGAGCCAAUAUUAAUAUGACCUUGACCUUGGUAACAAGUCUUUACGUUUUUUAUGUGAACAAGCUUUUGUGAUACCGUUGUUCAUUUAUGAUGUUUUCCCCUAUGUAUUCUGGUAUGAAUAAAUAUAUCGUGU
rnacentral:sRNA from 1 species